rnacentral:rRNA from 1 species
ACGGGUGCGGAACACGUACACAACCUUCCUUUAAGUGGGGAAUAGCCCAGAGAAAUUUGGAUUAAUACCCCGUAACAUAUAGAAGUGGCAUCACUUUUAUAUUAUAGCUCCGGCGCUUAAUGAUGGGUGUGCGCCUGAUUAGGUAGUUGGCGGGGUAACGGCCCACCAAGCCCUCGAUCAGUAACUGGUGUGAGAGCACGACCAGUCACACGGGCACUGAGACACGGGCCCGACUCCUACGGGAGGCAGCAGUAAGGAAUAUUGGUCAAUGGACGCAAGUCUGAACCAGCCAUGCCGCGUGGAGGAUGAAGGUCCUCUGGAUUGUAAACUUCUUUUAUCUGGGACGAAAAAGGGUCUUUCUAGAUCAACUGACGGUACCAGAUGAAUAAGCACCGGCUAACUCCGUGCCAGCAGCCGCGGUAAUACGGAGGGUGCAAGCGUUAUCCGGAUUCACUGGGUUUAAAGGGUGCGUAGGUGGAUUGCCAAGUCCGUGGUGAAAUCUCCGAGCUUAACUCGGAAACUGCCGUGGAUACUGGUAGUCUUGAAUACCGUGGAGGUCAGUGGAAUAUGUCAUGUAGCG